rnacentral:rRNA from 1 species
CAGCCGCCGCGGUAAUACGGAGGGUGCAAGCGCUAUCCGGAUUCACUGGGUUUAAAGGGUGCGUAGGCGGGCAGGUAAGUCAGUGGUGAAAUCUUCGAGCUUAACUCGGAAACUGCCGUUGAUACUAUCUGUCUUGAAUAACGUUGAGGUGAGCGGAAUAUGUCAUGUAGCGGUGAAAUGCUUAGAUAUGACAUAGAACACCGAUUGCGAAGGCAGCUCACUAAACGCUCAUUGACGCUGAGGCACGAAAGCGUGGGGAUCAAACAGGAUUAGAUACCCCCGUAGUCCCUGUCUCUUAUAC